CACAAAAGGACGAAUGAGAAAAGGUGACUGGGAGUCCUCCUUAAGAUAGUAAAAAGGAGUAAAACGAUCACAUGAUUCAAUGAAAUCAUAUGGUUCAUGAGUAUCAAGAUCAUAUGAAAUUAGAUUGUUUGAUUUUGCUUGUAUUGGUGCACCAUUGUUCCUCGUACCCAAUACCUCAGCCCAAACAUUUUCACCUAGCUUAACACUCAUCUUGUUCUCCCAGGCAUCAUCACGUGACAUCAACCUGUUCUCCCAAAAAUCCUCAUGUAUACUCUCGUCAAUCAAUACCCUCUUCUUGUCAUUCAAUACCCAAAUGUCCAAAUGAGAAGUGCCAAAAUCAUCCUCCUCCUCAUCGUCAUCAUCCCAAUCAUCCACAUCUCCCUCAACAAAGUAAGCAAUAGAUUGACCGAACGGAAGGAUAACAGGGUUCUCAAGCUGGCGGGUAUGACGUACCACCCAGAUAGGCACCGAAAUCUGUCCCAGUAAAUUUGUCUUUGUAUCAAAGUACAUAACUACCUGCUCUGACAGAUCAUUAUUAUACCCUAUCCAAAAUGCAGUACCAUUAACAAAUUCCGACUCAUUAACACACAUUUCAUCAACAAAAACAUUAUCUUGGCAUAUUUCCUUCCAAGAAUUAGUGUUUAGACUAUAAACACCAAUCUUGACCGAGUGCGGGUAACGUGCAUAAGGGGGGGUAUCAUAAGGUCUAAUAGCAUAAUAGUCGGCGUCAGGUGAGUGAGGUUCAGCAGUUGAACUAGGUUUCACAACAUGUACCACAACAUAAUCAUCAACUUCCGGUAAAAACCCAAAAGCUAAAGCAUUCCACCUAAUCUCCCUAUACCUAUACCUCGGAAGAGGUGAACUCGGGAUACUCCUAAAUUUGCUAACAAGGGGAUUCCAGAGAUAAAUGUCGGUUUUAUAACCAAGUUCUUGGUUAAACAUUGUAGACACACAAAAUAAACCAUUUGCUUGUCCAUACCAGGAUUUCUCAGGCAAUUCAAAUGGAUAGUGAAACGUGCAAUAUUUUCGACAUUGUGAAUCAUCAGAACGUACUGUGUAUAAAUUGGUAAUAGUAUCAUUGAAAAGCAAAUACUUAGGAUUAAUGUCGGCAGUGAGUUUUUGAUGAUUAGAGUGAAGAGAGAUAAACAUGGGAGUUUUAAUGAGAGAAUACCAUGAUUUCUGGACAGCUCCGCAACGUAAGACAUAUUUAACAGGAAGCCUUUUGAAUAUUUCGGACAAGAUUUCUUCGCAGAAGUCAUAGGAGGGCUCGUACUUGAGUUUUGAGAAGCUCAUUUUAACUCAGUUCAAUUGUCGGAAGAGAAAUAGAGACGGAACUAGGGUUUCAGUUUAAGAACCUCGGGAGUUCGAGUAGUUUGGGUCUGAUUUUAUUACUCUUACAUAUAUUCGGGUCGGGUCGACCAAAUCGGAUGGAGAGAAGUUUUAAAAAAGAUAUCAAAAGAAUGUUAUUUUCUUAUUCUUCAAUUAUUAAUUGUUUGUUACAGAUUGCCUGUUUUAUUUAAUUUUUGUUUUAAUCACCCUUAAUUUAAAAUAUAAUUUUAUUACAUCUUCUCAAUUUCAUUUCAUUCAAAUACAUGUGGUGUGAAAAUUCAUAUGUCUAAUUUGGAACUUGUCUACAUUUCUCUUGUUGUUCUUGCAACAAAACAACUUCUUUAAUUUUACUGUAAAAGAUGCAGGAAAAAUAGUAUAGCCCGCAAAGAUGCAUAUAGUGUAAAUAAAAAUAUAUUUAAAAGGGAGUUUAAAUAUAAAAUAAUUUAAAUUAUAGUCCAAAAUAGAAAAUUUUCAAAGAGUCGGAUAUUGAGACCUGGUAAGCACAUUCGAUAUCCGCCACUGCAUCAUCUAUACCUAUCAGUAGAACACAAAAGAGAAUUAAUAUUUAACGUAAUGAUAUGUUUAAAUUAUACAUUUUCCUUCAAAAGUUUUAAAAAUAAUAAUUUAAUUAUAUGAUCGAAAAAUUAAAAAAUUAAAUAUCUAGAACUUUAUAUAUAUAUUAAAAACAGAUAAAAGUAAAAAUUAUUUUUCUUUAUAUACUUUUUGAGUUGAUGGCUGGUACUCGAAAGCAAGUAGGUGGGACAAGGAAAUGAAAAUUGAAUAGUUUAUACAUUUCAAGAUUCUAGAAAAAUCGUUAACUUAACCGUUUUGUUGUCCUCCAGCUUCCGUUUAGACUACAACUUGUCCGUACUUCUCUUGUUGUUCCUUGCAACAAAACAACUUGUGUAAUUUGCAGUGUUCUAAAAAUCGCCGAGUCGGCCGAGUACUCGUUUUUAACCCCUCGUCCGAUCCGAGUUCCGAGUAAUCGGGUUCAAAACCGAUUUAUUAAAAAAUCGGUCAAACUUCGGUUUGACUCCGAGUACUCGAGGUCAUAUCCGAGUUUGACUUAUCAAUUUUUUAUUGUUUUAUUUGAAAAUUAUUUCAAAAGAGACUAAACGUAAAUUUAUGUAUGUUUUGAUCUUUUUUUGGUAAAGUAUUGACAUUAAUUAGAAAGUAUAUGUGUUUUAUGAUUAAAACUUGUGAAUGAUUAUUAUGUCAAAAACUAUCAAACAAUUAACUUAUAUUUGAACUUCAUUAUUUCAAGUGUUUUAUUAAAAUAUUAAUAUUAUUAGAUAGUUUUAUUAUUAAUCAGUAUAUAACUAUAUAUGAGAGAAAAAAAUUAAUUAAAAAAAAUACCCGAUUAGUUAUCCGAUUACUCAUUCCGAGUACUCACCCGAGUUCCGAGUACUCAUUUUUCCGGAACCAAACCGAGUUGGACCGAGUUCCGAUUUUUACAACCUUGGUAGUUUGUACAUACAAGAUGCAGUAGUCAAUGAAUAUAUAAACAAACAAUAUUUUUUAUAUAUGCACCAAGGUUUUACAUCUUUACUAAUGAAAUUUAUUCGUUUCAACAGGACAAAACCAUUGAUUCAGUUUCUAAGUAGACAAAUAUCAAAUAUGCCUCUAUAACAUACACAUCUAAAACAGUAUAUUUUCUUAUCAUGCUGCUAUAUAAUUAUAUUUCUGCUUUCUUUCCUGCUGAUUCAUGGUCUAAAAUGUAUUUGACUUGCAAGAAAUCUCGAUAUGAUUCUUCUUUCCUAUCAUUCUUAGUCAAGAAACUGUUGAACCACAUGGCGGAAAGCUUGGGAAUACGCUCAAGUGUGUGAGGAUCCACAUAAUAUAAUCCGAAUCUCACAUCAUAUUCAUAAAUCCAUUCGAAAUCAUCCAACAAUGACCACGCAAAAUACCCGCGCACAUCAGCGCCAUUCCUGUCAUUACAAAACCAAGAAAUUGCUUUCAAAUGUUGUUGAAAGGAAAUUUUCCUGAGUAUUUUCCUACCUACUGGUUUCCCAAGAUCCUUUUAUUAUGUAAUAUGGUCGAAUUUUCUGUUUAAAGAAUAAGUGAAAAAAGUUUUUUUUUUUUUUUUUUUGUUAAGAGGAAAACAAAAAGGAUUAUAUCUGUAAGGAAGUAGGAAUGCAAUCUGAAGCAAUAUAAUCACCUAAUUGCUCGGGCCAACGAAGCAAGGUAUGACUUGUGAUAUUCAAUUCGCUUUGUGUCAUUUAGUAUGUCUUUUACUGUGACAGCUUCUCCUUGUGGUGUGGAAUAACCUGCAGAAGUAAUUAACAAAAUUCAGUCCUUAACAUAGAGAUCCACAUCAUAUCUCGUAUAUUGCUAUGUUCGGAAAUGGUAAGAAAACAAUCCACAGUAUAAGAUCAAAAUUUUGGCCUAGUUUGCAUAAAAUGCGUCGAGGAGUACACGUUGCUGCCCCUUGUCAUCUUAUUACUAAAUUUCUGUAGGAACCAAGGCAUUUAUAAAGCAGAAUUUAAUUUUUUAUGACAAUCACAAAAGUCAAAUAACAGAAGGGACAAUAAUUAGGAAUUGAUAUGCUACAACUGAGUCCUACAGAGCUUUUCUACUAAACUUGACAUUUAGUUUGAGAUUCACAUGAAACUAGGUGGGACUGGUCGAUCAGUGUUUGUAGGAAUUUCUUGUGCUGCUCAGAAAUUUUGGUUCGGCCUAAAGUCUAAUGCAUUUGUCAAAAUAACAGGAACACAACUUAUAAGUGAUAAAAGUACCAACAAAAUUUCAGGGGAAAAAAAAACUCACCAUUUCAAGUUAUACACAUAGGGAUGUUAUUAUAUCUUUCUUUAACAUAGUCAACAAUCUCCUCCAUGCCUCUCGGAACCACAGUCAUUCCAUCUAUUGCAGUCUUUUGAAGCACCAAAAAAAUUGCAAUUAAACAUAUGUGAUUGUUACAUUUAAUAAAAUUAUAUGAAAAUCUUAUACUUCAAAAAAAAUCUUUAAAUGCCUCAAAUUGCAAUGUGUAUUGAUUAGAUUUUCUGAAUGCACUGCCUAAUUUUUUAGCUAUGCACACACAUACCGGUUCUCCUGUUAGGAUGCCAUCUCGAUCUGGUUUCAUCUGUUGAUAUCCUUUAAUUGCAUGGACACCUCCUUCUGUUCAUCUAGAAUAGAUACAAUCCUCAGAGUACAGAGUUGUGUAGAGAUUAAGUCCAAUGAAAUCAAUGCUGCAGAAUAUGACGUAUAUACAUCUGCAGAAUAUGAUCUCACUAUGUUUUAUAAUAAAGCAAAUUUCAAUGUUUUAUUAGUGUUGUACAAGCUAUAUAAACCAAUUAAACAGAAACUCAAAACAAAUUAACUAUAUCUGCAGAUUCUUUCUCUCAAGCUUUAAAUCUAAAUUUUGGAAAUAUGUAACCCAACUUACCCUCUAUCAAGAACUUAUGUUAAUAUUUUCAAAUUUUACUUGCUGAAGCUCAACCUGCAUGACUGCAAGAGAGGGACAGUCCAACCAAUUUUAAGUUAUUAGUCAGCAGACUUGUGGCUGGGGAAGUAUUUAUUAAAGUUUCGUUCACUUGGAUGGAAUGGAAUGAGGAGAGAAUGAAAUGAAAAAUUAUAAAGAAGUUUUAUGGAGAAAAAAAAGAGCAUGAAAAAAUAGUGACUUAAUUUGAGUAAGUCUAAAUUUUCUAUGAUGAAGAUUGCUGGAAACAUGAUGUUGAGGUGAAAUGAGCAUUCUUUAUAAAACAUGUGGAUUAGAUUUCUACUUCAAAUAGUUGAAAAGAAAUGACAAAAGAAUGUGAACACUUAAUGCUGGUAUUGGUAAAAGCAUACAUAGCAGUAGUAGAUCAUGAGGAUGAAACUGUUUGAAAUUUUGCAUGAGUCGGAGUAGGGGUGGCAAUAUUGGACCCGACCCGACAACCCGACACGAAUUCGACCCGCAAAAUACGAAUUCGGGUUGGGGUUUUUCGGGUUCGGGUCGAAUUCGGGUUGACCCGAAAAUCGACCCGUUCGGGUUGAAUUCGGGUUACCCGAAAUUACCCGAAAAUUAAUAUAUAAUAUAAAUAUUAUAUAUAUUUAUAUUUAUUUAUAUUAUUUUUAUAAAAUUUAUUAGUUAAAUUUAAUAUAAAAUUAUUUAAUUUAAUAAAAAAUAAUUUAUUUAGAUUAAAAUAAUAUUUAUUUAUUAUUUAAAAAAUAUUUUUAUUAAUAAAUAUUAAUUUUCGGGUCGUGUUCGGGUUACCCACGGGUAGUGCGGGUCGGGUUCGGUAUUCUGACCCAUUAAAAUUUCGGGUCGGGUUCGGGUUGGGUAAAUUUUUUGACCCGCGACUGUCAACCCGACCCGAACCCGACCCGAAACCCGAAAUUGCCAGCCCUAAGUCGGAGUGUCAGACCAUACCUUUUGUAUAAGUUGUGAACUGGCAUUUAAAAGAUACACAAUAUACUUGUAUACAGAGUUCUAUUAUAAGGUCAAGAAAAGAAAGUUGUCAUAGGCGUUAGCGGCGUUAGCGGCGUUAGCGGCGUUAGCUCUGCUCUUCCAAUUACCUGAUUGAACUAGUGGAUGAAGGUUACAAUUGUGAUAACCUGAGACAAGUCCGGAACUAUUGCAAAUCCAAAUUUAUUCCAUGUUUAAUAGCCUAGAUGUCGGAUAGGUUGUUACAAAAAGACUUGUGCAAAGGAGUAUUAAGAGGGUUGGGUCACAGAUGAUCUACUCACCAUCUACCCCAAUAUGCUCUCAUGCAUUCUCUAUACACCUCAAAUGUGAAAUGCAUAUUUGGCCAAAAAUGUAUAAUUAAGCAUGCUACACAACCUAAUACCAAAUGCAUAUCAAGUUCAAAAUAUAAUGCCAAAACAACAUAUUCUCAAAAACAUAACACAAUAUUAAGCUAAACGAUAAACUCCCAACGUAGAAUGAUACAAUAAAAAACAAAAACAUAAUCCACAUAAUCCAAGAAGAAUUUUCUUCAUCUCAUCCUUUUCAGCAUAUAGGCUAAGACUCCCUGAUGUCAUUUUAUCAAUCAGAUAUCGAAAUUUUCCUUCACGGUCCACUAUCACUUCACUUUUGGUGGGCACAUAUAAUGUCGUCUGCAUUUUCAACAGAAAAUGGAAAGUUGAAGAAAUCAAGCAAGUUCCCAUCACAAUAACAAGGCUUCCGACAUAACAUCUUCUUAAAUAAUUUCAAUCAACAUCAAGCAAAGCUAGAGUUUCCACAAAAGGACGAAUGAGAAAAGGUGAUUUAGAGCCCUCCUUAAGAUAGUAAAAAGGAGUCAAAUGAUCAGAUGAUUCAACGAAAUCAUAUGGUUCAUGAGUAUCAAGAUCAUAUGAAAUUAGAUUGUUUGAUUUUGCUUGUAUUGGUGCACCAUUGUUCCUCGUACCCAAUACCUCAGCCCAAACAUUUUCACCUAGCUUAACACUCAUC
rnacentral:lncRNA from 1 species